GAUAUAAAAUAAAAUAUAAAACCCGUGUCCCUUUGUUAGGGCUGCAUCCGGCCCUAGAGAGAAGAUCAGCCCUGCAUGGAGUUGGAGACGGCAGCAGCAGCACAGCAAUGGACUCCCAUCUCUCCUAUCUCCUUCCUUUCUGUGUCUUCUCCCUGCACUGGAUUCGGUGGAAACUUCCUUAGCAUUUCAUCUCUUUUCUUCCCAUAAUGUCCCAAAUUAUUCUCUCACUCUUUAUUCAAUGGGAACUCCCUGAGAAGAGUGAUUGGGAUCAGCCGGCUCACUCCCUCCGAAUGCCUUCAUGGGGUCCGUCUCCUUCCCCUCUUAUAGCCUUCCCGAAUGAAGAGAUAAGGGUAGAUGAACGGCUGACGUGUGCAUAGAUGAUUUGGACGACGCGGGAUAAAGAUUGGA
rnacentral:lncRNA from 1 species